rnacentral:rRNA from 1 species
CAGCAGCCGCGGGAAUACGUAGGUCCCGAGCGUUGUCCGGAUUUAUUGGGCGUAAAGGGAGCGCAGGCGGUUUAGUAAGUCUGAAGUUAAAGGCAUUGGCUCAACCAAUGUAUGCUUUGGAAACUGUUAGACUUGAGUGCAGAAGGGGAGAGUGGAAUUCCAUGUGUAGCGGUGAAAUGCGUAGAUAUAUGGAGGAACACCGGUGGCGAAAGCGGCUCUCUGGUCUGUCACUGACGCUGAGGCUCGAAAGCGUGGGUAGCGAACAGGAUUAGAGACCCGCGUAGUCCCUGUCUCUUAUACC